GGAUUAACGCUGGCGGCGUGCAUAACACAUUCAAGUCGAACGGUGACGGAGGCUUCGGCCUCCUGAUCAGUGGCGGACGGGUGAGUAACGCGUGAGCAAUCUACCUCUUGGUGAGGGAUAACAACCGGAAACAGUUGCUAAUACCUCAUGAAACGGCAGCAUCGCAUGGUGCAACCGUCAAAGAUUUAUUGCUGAAGGAUGGGCUCAUGUCUGAUUAGCUAGUUGGUGAGGUAACGGCUCACCAAGGCGACGAUCAGUAGCCGGUCUGAGAGGAUGAACGGCCACAUUGGGACUGAGAUACGGCCCAGACUCCUACGGGAGGCAGCAGUGGGGAAUAUUGGGCAAUGGGCGAAAGCCUGACCCAGCAAUGCCGCGUGAAGGAAGAAGGCCUUCGGGUUGUAAACUUCUUUUACCGAGGACGAAGAAAUGACGGUACUCGGCGAAUAAGCUCCGGCUAACUACGUG
rnacentral:rRNA from 1 species